rnacentral:rRNA from 1 species
UUGAACGCUGGCGGCAUGGCUAAAACAUGCAAGUCGAACGAGAACCCCGCAAGGGGGGACAGUGGCGGAAGGGUUAGUAAUACCAUCGAACGUGCCCCGAGGUGAGGGAUAGGCAUGGGAAACUGUGCGUAAUACCUCAUGAUCUCCACGGAGCAAAGAUUUAUCGCCUUGGGAGCGGCGAUGGUCCUAUCAGGUAGUUGGCGGGGUAAUGGCCCACCAAGCCGAAGACGGGUAGCGGGUGUGAGAGCACGGCCCGCAACAUCGGGACUGAGACACUGCCCGGACUCCUACGGGAGGCUGCAGUAACGGAUAUUCCGCAAUGCGCGAAAGCGUGACGGAGCAAUGCCGCGUGCAGGAUGAAGCAGCUUCGCUGUGUAAACUGCUGUCAGGGGCUACUAACUAUGAAGAGCCUCAGAGGAAGGACCGGCUAAACUCGU